rnacentral:misc_RNA from 1 species
AAUUAAAUUGAAUUUAAAUUGAAAAUUUUAAACUAAUUUAAAUAAAAAAAUUAAAAAUGAAUUAAAUUGAAUAUCCUAAUAAGUGCUGAAACUGAACAUUUAGCAAAAAAAAAUCUAUAAAUUAUGCACGUUAAUCCUGACCACCCUAUAUAAUUAUGAAAGUAAAAGGAAAUUGGUUACUUGGAUCAAGAUCAGUAAUCAU